rnacentral:lncRNA from 1 species
GUUAAAUUGCAAUGUGCGCGUGUGUUUUUUUGUCGAGGUACACAAUUUUUUUGCAAGUGCUAAAUGUUAGUGUGCGGUGUAUAUAUGUGUGUAAGUUGUGGUCGCCACUUGUCCCCCAUAAUUGAUUUGCUAAAUUUAAUGCUUUCCCGCCUCCACUGUGCUUGAUUGUAACAUUAAAUAGUAUCAACAAUUUUAUUGCAGGAAAACGGCGGGAGAAAAGAAGGAAACCAAAGAGAAGACGAAAACAUAACCAAAGGCAGGCAACGCAUGUUGCACAUGCCAAAGCGGGAUGGCAUGAUACCACUUCAGUUUUGCCAUUUUUUUUGUUGUGAAAUUUGUGUGCAAUUUUGAGAAGUUUAUUCGAAAAUUUGCAACGAUACGGCUUUGUGGAAUAACAAAUCUGGCCCUGACCGGCUGGCCACCCCUUGUUUCUCACUGGAAAAUUCGCCGACGACCGCAGUUGGCUUUGCAUUUUACGUUUGAAAGGAUUAAGAACGGGUUUGCAGUAGCAGCACCACCGGCACCACCCCACGGGGCCCACAAAAGAGCUUAAGCGCGGGCCCUGGUCUCUGGUCAACGCCUGCUGCCGCCCGUUGUGUGCGGCUUUGGCUCUGAUUUACUCUCGGGGGUGGCUUCCUUCCACUUCAUGUAAAUGGCCCAAACAUUAAAGCAGCACUUGAGUUGCUGUGUGUGUAUCUUGCUGCCCGUCAAAGUCAUGCCACACACAGUCCAGUGGGGGAACCACCCUAAGCUGAGAGUACUGUGGCGUACUAUAUGCAAAAUGCAAACAAUGGACAACGCAACGCUGUAGUCACGUGCUGCCAACACCACCACCAGCUGCUGCCGCUCGGCCUCUUUCCGAGAACUCCUCCUAAUAAGCGGCAAAUAAUUGGCAGACGAACUUGAGACUAGAGAGACUACCCCAAUGGCAGGGAGCAGGGAAUGGGGACCAGCGGCUGCCCGUGGCAACUGCAAUUGCCACUAAAAAUCGAUAUCCACCCUGCCACCCAGGCCUGUCUGCCUGCCCGCCUGCUGCAGGUUGUCGAUCCUGGAAUGGAGUACUGUUUGUUUGCAUUUCCAGUCCCCAGAGAGAGAGAGCGCGUUUGAAUGAGAGUCUGCUCUCAGUUGCAGUUGGAAAUUGGAGUACAGGUAAGUCCUGAGAAUAUAGUGCUCCCCCACCCCGCUUUAAAACCUCUUUUUUUCUAUCUUUUGUAGGUAUGUUUUUGUAAUGUGCAACCACAACAACAAUUAGAAUUUCCGGCUAUAAACUCUGGGGCACAGGCCUAGGCGUAAGCGUUAGCCCAGAACCCCAUGUCAUUUUGACCAAAUUUGAAUGUCAAACGCAAACGGUGAUGCAGGGCCGGAUCUAAGUGAAAGAAAUUGAGGUACAGAGGUACUGCAUCCGCUCCUGGUAAUGACAGUUGCAUUCUGUGGCCCCCUGGCUGCCUGGUGCUCAAUGAACCAUUCAUUCUCUUCUCUGUUUUCUGUUGCCUGUCUGUCUUGGACUACGAACAUGGGCAACAACAAUUAAUAUGGCCAGCGAUGCGAAUCUAAUAAUGUGACUACAAUAGACCCGCUUCAGCCAGUCCAGUC